UGCCUCGCCCUGCUUCGGCUCGCGCACGGUGCACGCACCCACUGACCUGCGCCCACUGUGUGGCACUCCCUAGUGAGAUGAACCCGGUACCUCAGAUGGAAAUGCAGAAAUCACCCGUCUUCUGCGUGGCUCACGCUGGGAGCUGUAGACCGGAGCUGUUCCUAUUCGGCCAUCUUGGCUCCUGGAUCUCUGUGUCAACCUUCUUUUAUUUUUAAAAGAUAUUCACUGUCUCUUACUAAAGCUUCCUGUUCAAAGUCUGGCUGAGAAUUUUUGCUGCUUCUUUCCCUACCUCCUCAUUUCCGAAGAACUAAGGUUAAACCAUGACCACUCCUCGAGGCCUUCCCUGGAGAUUCGGGCUCAUAGAUUCCUUCUUUCUCUGAAUUCUAAAGUACUUAUGGAAGAUUCAGCAGAUAAUUUUUAAUGAAUUAAAUUUUAAUACAUCAAAUUACUUAAUAAUAAAAUUUAAUAAAA
rnacentral:lncRNA from 1 species